rnacentral:rRNA from 1 species
GACGAACGCUGGCGGCGUGCUUAACACAUGCAAGUCGAACGGAAAGGCCCUGCUUUUGUGGGGUGCUCGAGUGGCGAACGGGUGAGUAACACGUGAGUAACCUGCCCUUGACUUUGGGAUAACUUCAGGAAACUGGGGCUAAUACCGGAUAGGAGCUCCUGCUGCAUGGUGGGGGUUGGAAAGUUUCGGCGGUUGGGGAUGGACUCGCGGCUUAUCAGCUUGUUGGUGGGGUAGUGGCUUACCAAGGCUUGGACGGGUAGCCGGCCUGAGAGGGUGACCGGCCAGGUUGGGUUGGAACUGAGGCCCGGUCCCCUCCGGGAGGGGGCGGUGGGGAAUAUUGCACUGUGGGCGGAAGCCAAAUGCGGCGCCGCGGCGUGGGGUAUACCGGCCUGCGGUUUGUAACCCACUUUCCCCUUUGACGAGGAGUGAGUGACGGUAAUGGAUAAAAAAGCACCGGCUAACUACGUG